AGGAUGAACGCUGGCGGCGUGCCUAACACAUGCAAGUCGAACGUCCUGUCUCGCAAGAGGCAGGGAGUGGCGGACGGGUGAGUACCACGUGGGUCAUCUACCGUGAGGUGAGGAAUACCGGCGAGAAAUCGCCGACAAGACCGCAUAGGCUCGAUGCAAGUCGAGCAAAGCUCUUUCGAGAGAGGGAGCGCCACACGAGGAGCCUGCGCCCGAUUAGCUAGCUGGUGGAGUAAUGGUUCACCAGGGCGACGAUCGGUAGCUGGUCUGAGAGGACGAUCAGCCACACUGGGAUUGAGAACGGCCCAGACUCCUACGGGGGGCAGCAGUGAGGAAUUUUCGUCAAUGGGGGCAACCCUGAACGAGCAACGCCGCGUGCAGGAGAAGGUUUUCGGAUCGUAAACUGCUUUUCUCGGGAAGAGAAUGGACGGUACCGAGGAUCAGCCCGGCUAACUACGUGCCAGCAGCCGCGGU
rnacentral:rRNA from 1 species